rnacentral:rRNA from 1 species
GGCGGCGCGGCUUACACAUGCAAGUCGAGCGGAGAGAGGUAGCUUGCUACUGAUCUUAGCGGCGGACGGGUGAGUAAUGCUUAGGAAUCUGCCUAUUAGUGGGGGACAACAUUUCGAAAGGAAUGCUAAUACCGCAUACGUCCUACGGGAGAAAGCAGGGGAUCUUCGGACCUUGCGCUAAUAGAUGAGCCUAAGUCGGAUUAGCUAGUUGGUGGGGUAAAGGCCUACCAAGGCGACGAUCUGUAGCGGGUCUGAGAGGAUGAUCCGCCACACUGGGACUGAGACACGGCCCAGACUCCUACGGGAGGCAGCAGUGGGGAAUAUUGGACAAUGGGCGCAAGCCUGAUCCAGCCAUGCCGCGUGUGUGAAGAAGGCCUUAUGGUUGUAAAGCACUUUAAGCGAGGAGGAGGCUACUUUAGAUAAUACCUAGAGAUAGUGGACGUUACUCGCAGAAUAAGCACCGGCUAACUCUGUGCCAGCAGCCGCGGUAAUACAGAGGGUGCAAGCGUUAAUCGGAUUUACUGGGCGUAAAGCGCGCGUAGGCGGCUAAUUAAGUCAAAUGUGAAAUCCCCGAGCUUAACUUGGGAAUUGCAUUCGAUACUGGUUAGCUAGAGUGUGGGAGAGGAUGGUAGAAUUCCAGGUGUAGCGGUGAAAUGCGUAGAGAUCUGGAGGAAUACCGAUGGCGAAGGCAGCCAUCUGGCCUAACACUGACGCUGAGGUGCGAAUGCUGAACCCC